rnacentral:lncRNA from 1 species
UCACCUCAAUACAUACAGUCAGGUCCAGAAGUUUUUGUGAGUUUGGGGUCUGAGUUUUUGUGUUUUUACCUUCAUACACCACUACGAUGGAUUUGAAUCGAGAUUAGCUUCAUUUUAAGAGGUUCCACAAAAAUAUGACAAUUAACAUUUAGGGUUUACAGCCAUUUUAAGCAAAGUACCACCAUUUUCAGGGGCUCAAUAGUAUUUGGACAGUUGACUGAAAAGUUAAUUGACCAGUGGCUGUCCAUUCCCUCGUCACUUCAAGACAAAUUAAGCAGAUAAAAGAGUUGAUAUGAAAUAUCAAAUUGGCAUUUGGAAGCUGUUUGACUGCUGCUACCAAUAUAAAGUCCAAGGAGAUCUUGAUGAAUCCUAUAAGCUAAAAAUCGUCUCAGCAUUUUAAGGCAUAAUAAUCCAUGUGUUUGGCUCUGUGAUGUCAGCUUGCAUUGAAUAUUCCAACAUUUGACUAACCUUCAUAAUUUAGUACGAACCACAUAUUUUAAAUUUUUGACUGACCUGUUAUCGACUUUUGCUGUUUUUUCUUGUAAACGCAACAUACGAUGAUGAACAGCAGAAUCAGGAUCACAGCAGCGCAGCCCAAAGCAAUCAGAUAGAGCAAAUCUAUGGAAGCAAAACACAAGGUCAUUUAAAUCAAACUCCAAAACUGCCUCGAACAGCUCAUUUACACCAACUGGAACACGAAAAAACAACUGUAGCAACUAAAUGCAAUUUAACAGCACAGUUAAUAAGUACAAAAUCAAAUUAGCUAGAGUCUUUAUCAACGUCAUUGUUAUUUGUGGAUUUAUUUGUAAUUGAUUGCAUUUAUUGUAGCUCAACACUCACACUUAAAUCUCUCUUUAGGGCUUGAAAUGACAUCCGUGGUGAUAUUCGUACCAGCCGAUGAGAAACUUGUACCAUUUUCUGAUGUCUGUGAGCUGCUGGUCACUUCAGAGGUCAAACUAGAGGUCACACUAGAGGUCGCACUAGAGGUCACACUAGAGGUCACACUAGAGGUCACACUAGAGGUCACAGCUGCAGUAGUUUCUUCAGGACAGGGUUUGAGUCUAAUGGUCUUCUGUGCGUGACUGACGUGGUUCUUCACGCUGCAGCUGAUGUCUCCAUCAGUUCCUUCAUCCAGAUCAAUGCUGCUGUUUCCAUCCAUCAGUGGAUCUCCAUUCAGAGUCCAGCUGUAGAGGAGCUGAUCCCCCUCAGAGGAGCAGAACACCCUCAUCACCCCACUGGAGGAGCAGAUGAUUGACACUUCCACUGAGCCAAUAGGAGCUGGAGGGAGGGACACAUCACAGUUUUCAAGAAAAUUGCAAUCUGUGUAAGUCUUGGAGAUUUACCUGCUCUCAGAAAUGAGUCCAUCAUCAUCUCAUAUCAUGGAGAACAUCAUAUUAGAAAUGUCUUAGGAAUGGAUGCAGGAUCAGGAGAAUAACAACUGCUGCAUUUCCAUUACAGAUUUAAGCAAAACGUAAGCAAUAUUUUAUGAUAUAAUAUGUUGAUUAAAGAGAAUUGUGAAAUGAUAGUGUUUCUAAUAAAAUAUU